rnacentral:rRNA from 1 species
GACGAACGCUGGCGGCGUGCCUAACACAUGCAAGUCGAACGGAACUGUUUUGAAAGCUUUCUUCGGAAUGAAUUUGAUUUAGUUUAGUGGCGGACGGGUGAGUAACGCGUGAGUAACCUGCCUUCAAGAGGGGAAUAACAUUCUGAAAAGAAUGCUAAUACCGCAUGACAUAUCGGAACCACAUGGUUUUGAUAUCAAAGAUUUUAUCGCUUGAAGAUGGACUCGCGUCCGAUUAGUUAGUUGGUGAGGUAACGGCUCACCAAGACCGCGAUCGGUAGCCGGACUGAGAGGUUGAACGGCCACAUGGGGACUGAGACACGGCCCAGACUCCUACGGGAGGCAGCAGUGGGGGAUAUUGCGCAAUGGGGGCAACCCUGACGCAGCAACGCCGCGUGAAGGAGGAAGGUUUUCGGAUUGUAAACUUCUUUUAUUAAGGACGAAAAAUGACGGUACUUAAUGAAUAAGCUCCGGCUAACUACGUG